UGUACUUUUUGAGCUGAUCGUUAUUUCAGAGGUUUCAAGUAAAACCUAUAAAAAUGUGGUUGCCCCACUACAGUCUCAUUUUUUCAUCAAUCUUCUAUAUUACCAGUGGAAGUGAGUUGGGUGUUGCUACUGAAACUAGGGGGGACUAUACUGUACACAGCC